rnacentral:rRNA from 1 species
UACUACGGGAGGCAGCAGUGGGGAAUCUUGGACAAUGGGGGCAACCCUGAUCCACCCAUGCCGCGUGAGUGAUGAAGGCCUUAGGGUCGUAAAGCUCUUUCGCCUGUGAAGAUAAUGACGGUAGCAGGUAAAAAAACCCCGGCUAAUUCCGUGCCAGCAGCCGUGGUAAUACGGAGGGGGUUAGCGUUUUUCGAAAUUACGGGGCGUAAAGCGCACAUAGGCGGAAUCGAAAAGUUGGGGGGUGAAAAUCCCGGGGGUUCACCCCCCGGAACUUGCCUCCAAAAUUUAUCGUUUUAAUAUUUCCAGA